rnacentral:sRNA from 1 species
AAAAAGUUCAUGCCGAAUUUCCUCACACUAAGGAAAGCGGGGGAACCAGUUAUGGGUGAAUUGAUCUUGCUUCAGAGGGAUCAUAGGGGGCCUUCUACCGAAUCCUUAAGCUAACCUCGCAGGCGCCGGAAGGGGUAUUU